AUUACAGAGGGUUUUUUAUAAUUAUUUCUAAAGUAUUUCUAAAAAUAACAUUAUAAAAACAUGUGGGUAACGGAUCAAUUAAAACAGAGACCAUCGUAGCUGGGUGCCACGGACGGAUGCCGAAAGUGUGUUUAGGCUACACACAGAAAACAAAAAUCUGGCGCGACACGGAGCUGCGGAACUUCCAUACUGCAUUACAUUUUCCAUCGUGUUGCUAACAGAAGACACAAGACAAUCAAUCAUGACAUCUGAAGCCAGCUGCUCCCAGAUUCAAGAGGAUAAUUUUCAGUCUGAUACAUAGACGGAUGAAGAUGUCUGCCACUCCUGCUGACCUUGAGAAGACUGGUAACCUACCUGUGACUCCUCGAUUGAUCCUGCUUGGUCCAAGUGAUACUCAAGGGCAGUGGAUGAAACAAUGGAUGAUCAGCUUGGAGGGCAGAAUAAUCUGUGAGGGUGUGCAACCAACCUUUCUGUCUGGACUUGCUGCUUUGUUUUCACUGUAUUACAUCUUUAACCUGCAAUAUCAAGAGGAAGCAGCAUCCACAUUGGAAUUCCUUCAAAGACGAUUUGUUGGAAUAAAUCCGGAAAAAGGGACCAAGGCUGCAAAAGGAAAAGUGACAUCUAAAAAGACUGGGAAAACUGUUCAAAAGAAGACCAUGACAGUCAAUCUGAAAGUGUCAAAUCUUUUAAAAAGAUUGAUGGACUUUGAGUGGCACUUUAUUUAAAAUGUUUUUUGUUUUACAGUAGUUUGUAUAUACUGUUAUUUUUUUUUUUUUUGUAUUCUACUUUUUAUAUCCAGAAAGGGCUUGUGUUUGAUAAAGCCUUGUGUUGAUUUAUUUAUUUUCAUUAUUUUUUUUCGGAAGCUUGAUUUGAAGCUUGUUUAUUAUUUAAUGUCAAGUUGAGGCAUUUUGAAAUUGUGUUUGUUUUCUUAAGCCAUCUUUGUAUUUCUCAAUGUUAUGGGUGCUUAUUUGUUGCACCAUAGUUUAUGCACUCAAAAAUAUGAUGGCUUGCAUUUUUCACAUUUCUUUUUGGCACAACAAACAGCUUAACAAUUAAUAUAAUGUUAAAUGGAAAUAAAGAAGGACUAAAACAGUAAGUUGGCAUUAUUUAUUUUGUUUUCCACAAAUAUAAAAUGCAGGGUAUAAUAGCAU